rnacentral:lncRNA from 1 species
AUGGGCAAGAACGCCCUAGAAGACACCAUUAUAGGGGAAAGCCAGCAUCUUACAAGGAACUUUGAGACUGACAAAGGAGAGACACAUCUACUGAUUAUUUCAAUGAUGAUACUUUGGUGGUACUUGUUAAUAAUCUGUUUGCAGCAGGUACAGAGAGCAUGGUUUCCACUCUGUGCUGGGGGAUUCUGUUCAUGUCACGAUAUCCUGAGAUCCAGAAAAAGGUCCAUGAUGAGAUUGCCAAAGUCAUGGGGUCCACCCAGCCUUGAAUGGCACACUGAACUCAAAUGCCGUACACAGAUGCUGUCAUUCUCGAAGUGCAGAGAUUUGCUGAUAUCCUGCCCACAGGCUUACCCCGAGCAACCACCACAAAUACUAUAUUUAAAAACAACUAUAUUCCAAAGGUAAGGGUUUAAGAAGGGGGAUGAGGGGAGAGGAAAGAACAUCAGAAUGCUGCUCAAAAUCACAGAAGUGCUGAGAUGAGCUGUCAGGCAAUCUCUGCCCUCCCUCUGGUCCCUCCAUCCUUCCUUCUUCUUCCCUCCCUCCCGGUCUCCCCUCACCCCAGCCAUUCAACCAGAGGUAACGGAAUGUCUACAUACACAGUAGGUGAUAUUUGCUCAGUGUGACUUUAUAAUGUAUGAUUAAUUUUUAUGUCAUAGCUGAGGAAGUUGGGGUGGCUUAUUUUUGAGGAUUUGUUUUGAUGGGCUUAUUAAAUUUAGUAUGUCUGCUGUCACAGUCUCUGGAGAUAAAAGAUCAAGCCUUUUGGCACCCCCAAACCCACCAGGAAGGCUCACAGUCACCAAAUGAGGACUUUUAAACUCCCACCACAUGAAUUUAUCAAAAGUUAAAUAACAUGCUGUUAUCACACCGCAGAUACAUCGUUAAGCCAGAAUUUGUUCCUAGUUCUGAAUCCAAGGUUUGUGUUUUUCAGCAGGUACCAGAUGAAAAUUUGUUAGAGUAUAUGAAUACCCUGCUGCUGCUGCUGCUGCUGCUAAGUUGCUUCAGUCGUGUCCGACUCUGUGCAACCCCAUAGACAGCCUCCUACAAGGCUCCUCUGUCCCUGGGAUUCUCCAGGCAAGAACACUGGAGUGGGUUGCCAUUUCCUUCUCCAAUGCAUGAAAGUGAAAAGUGAAAGUGAAGUUGCUCAGUCGUGUCCGACUCUUAGCGACCCCAUGGACUGCAACCUACCUCAAUCUCAAAUGCCAUCUUCCCCUUCUCUACUUCCUGUUCCUUCUAGAAUACACUGCUUCUCUAAAAUUGCCAACUGAGUCAUCGUAUGUCUCUAAGAGCCACCUUUUUAGGAAGGAAUUUCAUCUUUGUCAUUAAUAACACUUUUAUCUCUAGGGCACUGAGGUCAUCUUUUUGUUGACCUCUGUACUUUGAGAUCAAACACAGUGGGAAAACCCAGCCACCUUUAACCCAGAGCAUUUCCUUGACUCUAUCGAGAAGUUUAUCAAGAAGGAAGCUUUCAUAUCCUUUUCAGUAGGUAAGGCAUCUUACUUUAGAAAGGUGAUUCAAAAAAUCUGGAGAUACUUGGCCCUGGCUCAAGGCCAGGGCUAAGGUUCUGUAAUUUGCCACGUGGCACUAAACUUCAGAAAUAUGGAAAAGUUCUCCCCCAGCUUUCAGUUGGCUGUAGGACAUUGGGCAUUGGAAUGACAUUUUCUUAUGGAAUCCUAGAAGAUUCCUUGUGGCUAAGGCUAGCGCAGAGCCUUGGGAAUUUGAAGAGAAAGUUGAGCAGGGCAACCACAGGUAAAUCCAUUUCAUCUAUAAAAAGCCUUACUUUAAUUGUGCAAAUACCAGUGUUUCUUUUAGAAUUUCUUCUUUCUUUUUUUGCAGUAUAGUUGAUUUACAAUGUUGUGUUAGUUUUAAGUGUACAGAACUAUGAUUCAGUUAAAUAUAUACAUAUAUCUAUUCUUUUUCAGAUACUUUUCCCUUAUAUGUUAAGCUGAAACUCCAGUACUUUGGCCACCUCAUGUGAAGAGUUGACUCAUUGGAAGAGACUCUGAUGCUGGGAGGGAUUUGGGGCAGGAGGAGAAGGGGACGACAGAGGAUGAGAUGGCUGGAUGGCAUCACUGACUCGAUGGACGUGAGUCUGAGUGAACUCCGGGAGUUGGUGAUGGACAGGGAGGCCUGGUGUGCUGCAAUUCAUGGGGUCGCAAAGAGUCGGACACGACUGAGCGACUGAUCUGAUCUGAUAGGUUAUUACAACAUUUGAGUAUAGUUUGUUGUGCUAUAGUGCUAUACGAACUUAUUCCAGUUUUUAAACAUCUUGACAUUUCCCCCAAUAAUCCAUAUUUUAAAAAUAGUACUAGCCAAAUACUCUUCUUCAAGUGCCUUAGCAUGAUCUAGUUUCUAGUCAUACAUGCAGUCUCAGGUCUGAGACUCGUGACCUCAUGCUUGGCGUUCUAGUCAGAGUCCUGUUUCUUCCCACCCUCCAAUGCAUCACCACACCUGACUCAUCUUCCCUGUGUGCCUGGCUCACUUCUCUCCAUGUGUACCAGAACUUAGAUACAAAGAUGUCAUACGAAGGUGAGACCUCCUUUAGCUCACUUUCCUAUGGGUUCUCAUCACAUACGUGGUUUUACCUAUUAUAACCUGUUUCACAUUAAAACCUUAAAAUUGUCUCCCUCAGGGGAGCUCUAUUAAUUUUCUAUUUCCAAUGCUUCAACUAGCAGACAGAGCCUAUAAAACUCACAAGAGGUUGACUGACUCACACAUUCUGAAGGAGAAGAAAUCACACAUGGAUGGUUUCCCUCUUUGUCCACACUGUUUUUUCAGAUUUUUGGUCUGUCUUAUAACCCUUCACUACCAUCCACCUCUCUAGGUCCCCUCUCUAGUGUGCUGGGGAGUCACUGGCCAAGAUGGAGCUUUUGCUUUUCUUCAUGAGUCUCCUGCAGAAGUUCACCUUCCAGCCACCCCCUGGGGUCUCCCAUCUGGACUUGGACCCAACCCGGGAUACUGGUGUCGUCAUCCAACCAAUGCCUCACAAGAUACGUGCUCUGCCCCGAGCCAGGGUCUGCGUGCCAGCUACUGUCCCAGUUCUCUGUUAUUUUGCGGUCCUUUGCACUGACUGCACUGUUCUGCACCUUGACAGCUGUGUACUCUGCCGAGUCCUUCACUGCUUCAGCAGGCAGUCACAUCAUCCCAGAGGCCUCUGGUGUUAAGUCAGAUUGGGUUCCUCUGUUAAUCUCUGCAGCAAAAACCUCCUUACUGCCGUUCUCCAAGACAGUACACAUCAACACAACAUUUGACAAAUAGAACCUACUAGUGCCAUAAGGUUUUGCCCUUUAGUCCGAGAAACUGUCCUUUUCCUCCAAGGCAUAUGAGACAUCUAUGUAUUACUAGCUCUAAUUGCUUGGGGCAGGGCAGGGGGUGCAGUUUUAAUUGGUUGGUGCAGGGGAGGGGGGUGCUGUAUAAUGCUUUGUCUAGAAUGCUCAUGAAUAUCUUUAAAACUGCAGUGAAGAAAAUUUAACUCUUAAGCGAGGGUCCCAUUAAACAUAAGAUAUUGGCUUCAUUCAUUGGUUCAGUCAAUAUAGGAUGACUAAUAACAGAUCAUUGCUUGUGAGUAUGACCAAUUUGCUGAGGUCAGAAAAUGAGGUUCCUGCUUCUGACAUAACUGGAACUUGAAGACCACCCCCCUUCUCUAUGUUCAGUGCUCUGAGUCCCAGUAAAGUCAUACCCAAGGGACCUAUGAGCAGAAUAAAGAAAUCAUUGUCAGUUCCCGUGAGACA